UUUCACUCAGCGUGUUUUCGAGGUUCGUGCAUGUUGUGGCAGGUGUUGGUGCUUCAUUCCUUCUGUGGCUGAACAUCCCACCGCAUGGACAGGCCCUGUUUUGCUUAUCCACUCAUCCACUGACACGGAUCGGCUUUCCAGAGGAUCCUUGUUCAGGGCUUGCACACCUGCCGUUCCUCCUGAGGAAACACUAUGCCUGCCACGUGGACCCAGCAGCUCCUUCUCAUGCUCAAAUCUGGAAAAAUGAAAAGUUGAAGAAAACUGACGUCCCCCUUUGAUUAACAGUUUGACUUCAUGGAACUGAUCCAACAGAGAGAGCUUGCACUGAACACCUGUGCACCUCAGAUGUGCCAGGGCACCUAUCCCAGCACUGUUUACCGGAGCAAACACCUAAAGUCCGUCUCAGGGGCUAGACGAGUCCUGGGGAGACUUCACGAGGAGUACCGUGCCGUUCUUGCAAUAUGUACCCACAUACGGGACGAUCUCCAAGACUGACUAUCGAGUAUAGAUUCAGAGGCGCUCCCCAACCUGUACGCCUUGAGGAACUGGGGCUGGCAGCGCGGCGUCCUACAGAGAACAAACGUUUCCAGGUAAAUACUGUCAGUUCUGCUGUUGGAUCACGAUAGGGUUUCCUUUCCCCCUGCAUUUUUCUAUUGUACUUCUGACUUCACACUUCUCUAUUUUCAACAAAGGGAGGAAGAACAUUCUUUUAAUAAGCUUUCUGAAAAGUUAAAAUCAGGAGCUAAGCUGAAAGAAAAGAAUGAGGUGGCUCUAUAAUGUAUAAUAUGGGAAGUCUACAACAUAUAGUAAGUAAUGAAGACAAUGUUUCAAUACCAUUCGUGUUAAAAAAAAUUAAGAUUGGUGGCCAGCCCCGUGGCCGAGUGGUUAAGUCCGUGCGCUCCGCUGCAGGUGGCCCACGGUUUCGUUCGUUCAAAUCGUGGGCGCGGACAUGGCACUGCUCAUCAAGCCAUGCUGAGGCAGCAUCCCACAUGCCACAAGUAGAAGGACCCACAACGAAGAAUAUACAACUGUGUACUGGGGGGCUUUGGGGAGAAAAAGGAAAAAAAUAAAAUCUUUAAAAAAAGAAAAUUAAGAUAUAUGCUCAUACAUGCUGGUGUAUGCACAGCAUAUCCCUGAAAGGUGUUCAAAAAACGGGAGCAGCUCCAUCUGAGGAGAGUCAUCUGGGAGGAGCAGCUCCAUCUGAGGAGAGCCAUGGGGGGAGCAGCUUCACCUGGGGAGAGUCAUCUGAAAGAAACUGCUUCAUCUGGGGGAUCAGGGAUGAAAGAAAGAUUUACUUUACCAUAUUAGAGUGUUUGGAGUUUUAGAAAACAAUUACAUGUUUUACAUCUAUUAAACAAAUAAAAGAUUAAAGAAUGAUUAAAAAAAUUAAAAUGUUUUUUUUUACAAAUUUAAAAAAAUUUGUAACUGAUUUGUUGAGACUGUGUGUGAAAUUACUUCUCCUACAGUUUUCCAGUUGGCUCAGUGUUACUAAUAGAAAGCUUGCAGAUCUUCGUAGAACGGAAUUUCCUAAAAGUGCUUUUUGCUAACUAAUUCUGUUUGGUUAUCACCUCCAUGAUGGUUGGGGGAUGGAGUUUUGUUUUGUUUUGUUUUACUUUGACUGUUUCAUACCUUUCAUUUAAUGCCUCGUAUGUACUGCACAGCUGUCAUGGGUCUGGGGCUAAGUUCUUUCUAUGUAGUAACUUAUUUACUCUCCCAGAAACCACUGACAUAGAUGCUACCACCCCUGUUCUAACCAAGGGAAACAUUGAACAGAGAGGUUAAGUGACUUGCCCAAAGCCACACAACCAGAAAUACAGUGAAGCGUCCCCCGGGCCCUUGGCUACAGAGCCCAUGACCUAACCACUGCCCAGCACAGCCCUCAGAGAGGAAGAGCGGUGAGCUGCUGCGCAGGUGGGCUUCUGCAGCCUUGGGAGCUAGUGGAACCAGCUCAAGGCCACACGUAUCCACAAACUCCUUAGAGAAAUGGGUAUCUGUUUAUAUAAGAACUAGCUGGGGCAGCACGGUGUGCAGAAAACCUUCUAAUUUUGAGUUAGUUUUCUUACUUCUUUGUAACAAAGACUCCUAAAGGAAUAGAAAGCUUAAACUGAAUCUCACACAUCUAUAUUGUUGAGAAACUAUUAACAACUCAAAAAGUUCCCUUAUGGCUGGAAGAUGUAGGAUUCUACUGUUUAUUCAUCAAAAUGAACACAGAUGUGCACAACAUAAAUACUAAAGUUAUUACCAAUGGGAUCUCUGUUACUCUUGGCAAAGAAACCACGAGUGAGAUAAUUACUAACAAGACUGCAUAAAUACCAUUUAAAAAUGCUAGACCGCCCCCCCCCCAAAAAAA
rnacentral:lncRNA from 1 species